rnacentral:rRNA from 1 species
GACGAACGCUGGCGGCGUGCUUAACACAUGCAAGUCGAACGGAAAGGCCCUGCUUUUGUGGGGUGCUCGAGUGGCGAACGGGUGAGUAACACGUGAGUAACCUGCCCUUGACUUUGGGAUAACUUCAGGAAACUGGGGCUAAUACCGGAUAGGAGCUCCUGCUGCAUGGUGGGGGUUGGAAAGUUUCGGCGGUUGGGGAUGGACUCGCGGCUUAUCAGCUUGUUGGUGGGGUAGUGGCUUACCAAGGCUUUGACGGGUAGCCGGCCUGAGAGGGUGACCGGCCUCAUUGGGACUGAGAGACGGCCCAGACUCCUACGGGAGGCAGCAGUGGGGAAUAUUGCACAAUGGGCGGAAGCCUGAUGCAGCAACGCCGCGUGCGGGAUGACGGCCUUCGGGUUGUAAACCGCUUUCGCCUGUAACGAAGCGUGAGUGACGGUAAUGGGUAAAGAAGCACCGGCUAACUACGUG